UACGGGGGGGGCAAGCGUUGUUCGGAAUUACUGGGCGUAAAGCGCGUGUAGGCGGCUAAGUAAGUCGGGCGUGAAAUCCCACGGCUCAACCGUGGAAGUGCACUCGAAACUGCAUAGCUAGAGUCCUGGAGAGGAAGGUGGAAUGCUUGGUGUAGAGGUGAAAUUCGUAGAUAUCAAGCGGAACACCGGUGGCGAAGGCGGCCUCUGGACAGUGACUGACGCUGAGACGCGAAAGCGUGGGA
rnacentral:rRNA from 1 species